GAUGAAGAACGUAGCGAAAUGCGAAAAGUAAUGUGAAUUGCAGAAUUCAGUGAACCAUCGAAUCUUUGAACGCACAUUGCGCCCGCUGGAACUCCGGCGGGCACGCCUGUCCGAGCGUCAUUUCAACCCUCAGGCCCCCCUUCGCGGGCGGGCCUGGUGUUGGGCCCCGGCCGCUACCCUGCGGCCGUCCCCUAAACCCAGUGGCGGCCUCGCCGUGAUCCCUUGCGUAGUAAUGCACCUCGCACCGGAGAGCGCCGUGGCCACGCCGUAAAACCCCCAAUUUUCAAUGGUUGACCUCGGAUCAGGUGGGAAUACCCGCUGAACUUAAGCAUAUCAAUAAGCGGAGGA
rnacentral:misc_RNA from 1 species